rnacentral:tRNA from 1 species
GGUGAUAUAGCUUAGUUGGUAGAGUGCUUGCCUAGCAUGCAGAUGGCCCUGGGUUCAAUCCCCAGUACUCCCC